GGCUCUUGGACAUUUACAGAGCCAGAACGGGAGUUGCUGGUCAGCUCUUGAUGAACCUUCUGAAGCAACAAAGCUAUCAGAGCCAACUGAAACUGAACUUUGGUGCUUAAAGGACUACCCCUUUGGUUUGGAGAUGACUCCUGCUUUCUUUAAGAUGUGUUUGAUGUCCGAUGAUCACCGCUCAAUUCUUUAUGUGCCAGUGGGGAUUUUGAUAGUUGAAGAUGGGACAAGAUGGGUCUCCCUCUUCGAUUGGAAUCAUAAUCGAGGGAAAAUUAGUGAUGGACAAUCUACAUGACCUUCCUGAAGAAGCAAUGUGCCUUCUGUUCGGACUUCUAUAUGCAUUGCACCUGAGUUACCCAAAGUCACUGGGAUACAUGUUUGACUUCAUUCAGCGGAUUCUACUUUCCUUGGGGCAGAAAGACCUGCAGCCUAAAACGCAAUCGUUGGCAAACC